AGUGAACGCUGGCGGUAGGCCUAACACAUGCCAGUCGAACGGCAGCACAGUAAGAGCUUGCUCUUACGGGUGGCGAGUGGCGGACGGGUGAGGAAUACAUCGGAAUCUACUUUUUCGUGGGGGAUAACGUAGGGAAACUUACGCUAAUACCGCAUACGACCUACGGGUGAAAUCAGGGGAUCUUCGGACCUUGCGCGAUUGAAUGAGCCGAUGUCGGAUUAGCUAGUUGGCGGGGUAAAGGCCCACCAAGGCGACGAUCCGUAGCUGGUCUGAGAGGAUGGUCAGCCACACUGGAACUGAGACACGGUCCAGACUCCUACGGGAGGCAGCAGUGGGGAAUAUUGGACAAUGGGCGCAAGCCUGAUCCAGCCAUACCGCGUGGGUGAAGAAGGCCUUCGGGUUGUAAAGCCCUUUUGUUGGGAAAGAAAAGCAGCAGGUUAAUACCCCGCUGUUCUGACGGUACCCAAAGAAUAAGCACCGGCUAACUUCGUG
rnacentral:rRNA from 1 species